CGAACGCUGGCGGCGUGCCUAAUACAUGCAAGUCGAGCGAACCAAUUGAAAGCCUAGCUUUCAUGAGGUUAGCGGCGGACGGGUGAGUAACACGUGGGUAACCUGCCCUAUAGACUGGGAUAACUCGCGGAAACGCGUGCUAAUACCGGAUAACACAUCAGGGUGCAUGCUUUGGUGUUGAAAGAUGGUUCUGCUAUCACUAUAGGAUGGGCCCGCGGCGCAUUAGCUUGUUGGUGGGGUAACGGCCUACCAAGGCGACGAUGCGUAGCCGACCUGAGAGGGUGAUCGGCCACACUGGGACUGAGACACGGCCCAGACUCCUACGGGAGGCAGCAGUAGGGAAUCUUCCACAAUGGGCGAAAGCCUGAUGGAGCAACGCCGCGUGAGCGAAGAAGGUCUUCGGAUCGUAAAGCUCUGUUGUAAGGGAAGAACAAGUGCAGUAGUAACUGGCUGCACCUUGACGGUACCUUACUAGAAAGCCACGGCUAACUAC
rnacentral:rRNA from 1 species